rnacentral:rRNA from 1 species
UGAAACUGCGAAUGGCUCAUUAAAUCAGUUAUAGUUUAUUUGAUAGUACCUUACCACUUGGAUAACCGUGGUAAUUCUAGAGCUAAUACAUGCUAAAAACCUCGACUUCGGAAGGGGUGUAUUUAUUAGAUAAAAAACCAAUGC